CCAAAUCCAAAAUCAACCACUUGUGAACUUGUCUUGUAUUGUCUUUUGGGAAGUUUUGAUGUGAAAACAACAAUUCAUCCUUUAACAAGGAACUUCCCAUUAGGCGCGUGUGUAUUGUUUUGCAAAAAACAAUGCCACAAACCAAUAUGAACCACAUUUAAACUUUAUCCAUUUGGUUUUUUACACAAAAAACAAAAUGA
rnacentral:misc_RNA from 1 species